UUCAUUAGAGCCGGUUGAUGGCUAGGAUCUCUUUGAAGAUCAAGGCUAUCAACCGGCCACGUACUCAAGAAAAAAGAAAAACUCUAAAUUAAUCCCAUCCAGCCUAUCUUCUGUCCUUUCUUUCAUUUCUUCCACCGCUCCCAUUUCUCCCACGUUCCUCGGCUCUCUCCAGCGGACUCAUGAAAAAGUUGAAAGGCUUCUGCUUCUUCAGGAUUCAGAUUUUUGGCAUAACCAUCAACAACCGUAUUGUUAAGAAAUCAAAUUCUUCUCAAACAGCAUAUCAAAAGCUUUACGGGCAGAAGAGAGUGGGCAGUACCUUGACCUCUUAGUAGAGAGAGCCAGAGGAUAUAUGCACCGACGUUGCUACCAGGCUCCAGCGGAGAGUAUUGAUGGGACUAAGCUGAAACAACCUGAGAGAGAAUGAAAUAAAUAUGUUCGAACAGAAAUUUUAUUCAGGUCAGACUGAUCAAUAUAUGCUAUAUGUGGCCUAGCUUUAAAUUCAAAUCCAGUUUCAGCAUUUGAACAUUUUUGCUUCUGGGUUUGUUUGGAAUACAUUUUUGCUAGUUUAGGUUGAUAUUUAGAAA